AGCGAACGCUGGCGGCAGGCUUAACACAUGCAAGUCGAGCGGGCAUAGCAAUAUGUCAGCGGCAGACGGGUGAGUAACGCGUGGGAACGUACCUUUUGGUUCGGAACAACUGAGGGAAACUUCAGCUCAUACCGGAUAAGCCCUUACGGGGAAAGAUUUAUCGCCGAAAGAUCGGCCCGCGCCUGAUUAGCUAGUUGGUGAGGUAAUGGCUCACCAAGUCGACGAUCAGUAGCUGGUCUGAGAGGAUGAUCAGCCACAUUGGAACUGAGACACGGCCGAAAAUCCUACGGGAGGCAGCAGAGGGGAAUAUUGGACAAUGGGCGCAAGUCUGAUCCAGCCAUGCCGCGUGAGUGAUGAAGGCCGUAGGGUUGUAAAGCUCUGUUGUGCGGGAAGAGAAUGACGGUACCGCAAGAAUAAGCCCCGGCUAACUUCGUG
rnacentral:rRNA from 1 species